GAUGAACGCUGGCGGCGUGCCUAAUACAUGCAAGUCGAGCGAACAGACGAGGAGCUUGCUCCUCUGACGUUAGCGGCGGACGGGUGAGUAACACGUGGAUAACCUACCUAUAUGACUGGGAUAACUUCGGGAAACCGGAGCUACUACCGGAUAAUAUAUUGAACCGCAUGGUUCAAUAGUGAAAGACGGUUUUGCUGUCACUUAUAGAUGGAUCCGCGCCGCAUUAGCUAGUUGGUAAGGUAACGGCUUACCAAGGCAACGAUGCGUAGCCGACCUGAGAGGAUGAUCGGCCACACUGGAACUGAGACACGGUCCAGACUCCUACGGGAGGCAGCAGUAGGGAAUCUUCCGCAAUGGGCGAAAGCCUGACGGAGCAACGCCGCGUGAGUGAUGAAGGUCUUCGGAUCGUAAAACUCUGUUAUUAGGGAAGAAAAAAUGUGGAAGUAACUAUGGACGUCUUGACGGUACCUAAUCAGAAAGCCACGGCUAACUACGUG
rnacentral:rRNA from 1 species